UUCAGAUGUAAGAAACGCCCCCGCACCGCAUCAAUAUCAAUUUUGACAUCGACUUAACUUGGAGGGCUUCGAGGACAUGUCUACAUGAGACGCGCGAUACGGGCGAAUACACCUUUCAUUUACCUCGACAGUGGAAAUUCAACUUUAAUAUGCCGAAUAUGCGUUCAUAAGCUUGACGCAUGACCAAACAAUGAAACUUGUCUAGCUCUGGCUUUUUACAAGUGAAGAGGAUAUCCAUUGAAUAAUAUAUCUGAAAAUGAAUCUGAUUAUUCGUAUGUUUAUACUGUUCAUCGCUUCAGCGGUCAAUACAACUGACAAUAUCGACUUUUGCCCAACUUUUUGCGACUGCACCAAAUGGGAAAGUACGAAAACAGUGUCAUGCUUCGAAACUGACGUCCUACCUGCAUUCCAUCCCAGCACCAAAGAGUUGUGGCUUGUGGAGACAAGACUGACCUCCAUAUCUCAGGAUGCCUUCGCCAACUUGGUCAACAUCUCUCACAUUUACAUCUCAGAUGAUGAAAGCCUGAGGAGUCUGGAGAGGCACUCGUUUCACAAGCUACCUAAGGCUAUCCACAU